rnacentral:rRNA from 1 species
CCUACGGGUGGCAGCAGUGGGGGAUAUUGGACAAUGGGGGAACCCUGAUCCAGCGACGCCGCGUGAGUGAAGAAGUAUUUCGGUAUGUAAAGCUCUGUCAGCAGGGAAGAAAGCAAUGACGGUACCUGACCAAGAAGCCCCGGCUAACUACGUGCCAGCAGCCGCGGUAAUACGUAGGGGGCAAGCGUUAUCCGGAAUUACUGGGUGAAAAGGGAGCGUAGACGGCUGUGCAAGUCUGGAGUGAAAGGCGGGGGCUCAACCCCCGGACUGCUCUGGAAACUGUAUGGCUGGAGUGCAGGAGAGGUAGGCGGAAUUCCUAGUGUAGCGGUGAAAUGCGUAGAUAUCUGGAGGAACAUCAGUGGCGAAGGCGACUAUCUGGCACAUAACUGACGUUGAGGAGCGAAAGCGUGGGUAGCAAACAGGAUUAGAUACCCCUGUAGUC